CCGUCCCUCUGAAGCUCCUCUGUGUGGGGAACAUGACAGCAGGACCAAAGCUCAGAGGACCCAUCAGAGACCAGGACCUGAACCUGCACCCAGCUGUGUGUCCAUGAAGAGUAACCAGUCUAUGGAGCCUCCUCUAGUCUUCAAAGAUGGUCCCUCUGUUGAUGCAAGGUCACAUCAGCAGAGAGGAAAGUCUCCUGAACCCAGAUGUUUGUCCAUGAAGAGUGAUC